rnacentral:rRNA from 1 species
GUUCGCAAUGGGCGCAAGCCUGACGACGCAACGCCGCGUGGAGGAUGAAGACCUUCGGGUCGUAAACUCCUUUCGACCGAGAAGAAUGGCUUCCGACCUAAUACGUCGGGAGCAUGACGGUAUCGAGGGAAGAAGCCCCGGCUAACUCUGUGCCAGCAGCCGCGGUAAUACAGGGGGGGCAAGCGUUGUUCGGAAUUACUGGGCGUAAAGGGUUCGUAGGUGGCCAACUAAGUCGGACGUGAAAUCCCUCAGCUUAACUGGGGAACUGCGUCCGAUACUGGAUGGCUUGAGUGCAGGAGAGGAACGCGGAAUUCCAGGUGUAGCGGUGAAAUGCGUAGAUAUCUGGAGGAACACCGGUGGCGAAGGCGGCGUUCUGGACUGUAACUGACACUGAGGAACGAAAGCCAGGGGAGCAAACGGG